rnacentral:rRNA from 1 species
CCCUAGAGUGGGGGACAACAGUUGGAAACGACUGCUAAUACCGCAUAAGCCCACGGUGCCGCAUGGUACUGAGGGAAAAGGAUUUAUUCGCUUUAGGAUGGACUCGCGUCCAAUUAGCUAGUUGGUGAGGUAACGGCCCACCAAGGCGACGAUUGGUAGCCGGACUGAGAGGUUGAACGGCCACAUUGGGACUGAGACACGGCCCAGACUCCUACGGGAGGCAGCAGUGGGGGAUAUUGCACAAUGGGGGAAACCCUGAUGCAGCGACGCCGCGUGGAGGAAGAAGGUUUUCGGAUUGUAAACUCCUGUCGUUAGGGACGAUAAUGACGGUACCUAACAAGAAAGCACCGGCUAACUACGUGCCAGCAGCCGCGGUAAAACGUAGGGUGCAAGCGUUGUCCGGAAUUACUGGGUGUAAAGGGAGCGCAGGCGGGAAGACAAGUUGGAAGUGAAAACCAUGGGCUCAACCCAUGAAUUGCUUUCAAAACUGUUUUUCUUGAGUAGUGCAGAGGUAGAUGGAAUUCCCGGUGUAGCGGUGGAAUGCGUAGAUAUCGGGAGGAACACCAGUGGCGAAGG